AACGAACGCUGGCGGCAUGCCUAACACAUGCAAGUCGAACGAGACCUUCGGGUCUAGUGGCGCACGGGUGCGUAACGCGUGGGAACCUGCCCUUAGGUUCGGAAUAACUCCCCGAAAGGGGUGCUAAUACCGGAUAAUGUCUUCGGACCAAAGAUUUAUCGCCUUUGGAUGGGCCCGCGUUGGAUUAGCUAGUUGGUAGGGUAAAAGCCUACCAAGGCGACGAUCCAUAGCUGGUCUGAGAGGAUGACCAGCCACACUGGGACUGAGACACGGCCCAGACUCCUACGGGAGGCAGCAGUGGGGAAUAUUGGACAAUGGGCGAAAGCCUGAUCCAGCAAUGCCGCGUGAGUGAUGAAGGCCUUAGGGUUGUAAAGCUCUUUUACCCGGGAUGAUAAUGACAGUACCGGGAGAAUAAGCUCCGGCUAACUACGUG
rnacentral:rRNA from 1 species